rnacentral:rRNA from 1 species
CAGUCGCCGCGGUAAUACGUAGGGUCCGAGCGUUGUCCGGAAUUAUUGGGCGUAAAGAGCUCGUAGGCGGUUUGUCGCGUCUGCCGUGAAAGUCCGGGGCUCAACCCCGGAUCUGCGGUGGGUACGGGCAGACUAGAGUGAUGUAGGGGAGACUGGAAUUCCUGGUGUAGCGGUGAAAUGCGCAGAUAUCAGGAGGAACACCGAUGGCGAAGGCAGGUCUCUGGGCAUUAACUGACGCUGAGGAGCGAAAGCAUGGGGAGCGAACAGGAUUAGAUACCCGGGUAGUCCCUGUCUCUUAUAC